rnacentral:SRP_RNA from 1 species
CGAAGAGGGACCGGCAAUAGGAGACCGUGAAUCUGGUCAGGCGGGAAACCGAGCAGCCAUAAGCGAAAUCUUUUAUGUGCCGCGUCCUCUUCGGAG